rnacentral:rRNA from 1 species
UACGUAGGGCGCAAGCGUUAUCCGGAAUUAUUGGGCGUAAAGAGCUCGUAGGCGGUUGUCGCGUCUGCCGUGAAAGUCCGGGCUCAACUCCGGAUCUGCGGUGGGUACGGUAGACUAGAGUGAUGUAGGGAGACUGGAAUUCCUGGUGUAGCGGUGAAAUGCGCAGAUAUCAGGAGGAACACCGAUGGCGAAGGCAGGUCUCUGGGCAUUAACUGACGCUGAGGAGCGAAAGCAUGGGGAGCGAACAGG